UACGGAAUGUGCAAACGUUAUUCGGAAUCACUGGGCUUAAAGAGUCCGUAGGCGGCAUGUUAGGUGAGGUGUGAAAUCCCCCGGCUCAACCGAGGAAUUGCGCUUCAAACCGGCGUGCUUGAGGAAGAUAGAGGUGGGCGGAACUGAUGGUGGAGCGGUGAAAUGCGUUGAUAUCAUCAGGAACACCGGAGGCGAAAGCGGCCCACUGGGUCUUAUCUGACGCUGAGGGACGAAAGCUGGGGGAGCGAACAGG
rnacentral:rRNA from 1 species